rnacentral:rRNA from 1 species
UACGUAGGAUGCAAGCGUUGUCCGGAAUUAUUGGGCGUAAAGAGCGCGCAGGCGGUAUGACAAGUCAGAUGUGAAAGAGGCCGGCUUAACCGGCAAGGGUCAUUUGAAACUGUCAGACUAGAGUGCAGCAGAGGAUAGUGGAAUUCCCGGUGUAGUGGUGAAAUGCGUAGAUAUCGGGAGGAACACCAGUGGCGAAGGCGGGUCUCUGGGCCGAUACUGACGCUGAGGAGCGAAAGCGUGGGGAGCAAACAGG